CGAACUCCAGAUGAGUGCUGCGAAGUCAAUAAUUCUGAUAUCAAGUGAAGCGAGGUUUUGAUCAAAUAUCCGCAAAAAUAUAAACUGUAAGUUUUAUCGUCGUUCUUUUUAUUGGACUAAUUCUGUGCACUUUUUUCAAAUGGGCGAAAUUGACAUCGACGCCAAAAUGAGAAACCAUCGAAUGAAAUUUUCCAACAGAUAAUCAAUUCCCUAUUUCUUAAGAAGAAAUAGUUUGACCCUCAUUUCUGUUAACCACAUUCAUUGUAAGGUGUUUUAUCAUUCAAAGUAAUUUAACAUUUAUUAAUUUUAAUUUUGCGUUACAAUUCUGAGAAAAAAAUAGUAACGCCCAUUCCUGAACAUAGGUUGUGAUUGCGCCCUUCAGCAUAACCGCCUUAUGUCAAAUCAUAAAUCUAAUUGCGCCCCACUACCGAGUCCAAUUGGAAAACCAUCUGUCAAAUUCGCCUCUUUGUUUUCCUUUUUGCUGGAAACAGUUUCAAUUGCGCCCUUCUGCACGAAACAGUUUUGCGGUACAUUUUCCGAAGGAAAACUAUUAGUUUUUGUGAAAAAUCAAUAUUAUGCGCUGGUAAAAUCACCUCGUCGUCCUCAGCAGCAGGAACAGCCCGCUUGGACAGGCUAGCUGUUGUCAGGAGAAGCCGAAGCCAGGCAUAUAGAAUUCCUUCUAGGAAUCGUAUUGGGCCAGAGGAUGAAGCGUCUUUGCAUAUACUUUCGUCUGUAUGGGAAGGUGACGGAUCACCUGCGUCAGAAAUUCAGACGGGGGCAACUUUUUAAACCCCAUAGCGGCGAAGGUAUGUUACGAUUUUUUUUACUAUUUUGUUUAUUUGGUGCAGUGUGAUGAGCAGUGAACAGAAUAAAGGACUACGUUCACCGCGCUAUGUGUUAUCUAGCAAGGCUAAGUGCGAUUUAUGUACCAAAGUAUUCCAUCAUAAUUCGUCGCACAAUACCAUGUUUUCUACCUCUCAGUUUAGGGUAAAUAAUGCAAGCGCCUUGAAUUAACACUCAUAGUAACUGAUGGAAAAAAUAUGAUACAAUUUAUUUAACAAUCUUUGACCAUAAGCUCAUAUUUCAUCAAGAGCCCUGAAUUGAAAAGAGAAUUCAAAUUAGCCCUUUUGUCAUCGUUGUUUUGUGUGGGAGGAAAUGGGCGAAAUUGCACGC